CGGUCGCAAGAUUAAAACUCAAAGGAAUUGACGGGGACCCGCACAAGCGGUGGAUGAUGUGGAUUAAUUCGAUGCAACGCGAAAAACCUUACCUACCCUUGACAUGUCCGGAAUCCUGAAGAGAUUUGGGAGUGCUCGAAAGAGAACCGGAACACAGGUGCUGCAUGGCUGUCGUCAGCUCGUGUCGUGAGAUGUUGGGUUAAGUCCCGCAACGAGCGCAACCCUUAUCAUUAGUUGCCAUCAUUUAGUUGGGCACUCUAAUGAGACUGCCGGUGACAAACCGGAGGAAGGUGGGGAUGACGUCAAGUCCUCAUGGCCCUUAUGGGUAGGGCUUCACACGUCAUACAAUGGUCGGUACAGAGGGUUGCCAACCCGCGAGGGGGAGCUAAUCUCACAAAGCCGAUCGUAGUCCGGAUCGCAGUCUGCAACUCGACUGCGUGAAGUCGGAAUCGCUAGUAAUCGUGGAUCGGCAUGUCACGGUGAAUACGUUCCCGGGUCUUGUACACACCGCCCGUCACACCAUGGGAGUGGGUUCCACCAGAAGUAGGUAGUCUAACCGCAAGGAGGGCGCUUACCACGGUGGGGUUCAUGACUGGGGUG
rnacentral:rRNA from 1 species